rnacentral:rRNA from 1 species
GUCCCUAUCUGUUGUGGGCGUAGGAAAUUUGCGAAGGCCUGACGUUAGUACGAGAGGACCGCGUUGGACAAACCGCUGGUGUACCAGUUGUUCCGCCAGGAGCAGUGCUGGGUAGCUAUGUGUGGACGGGAUAAACGCUGAAAGCAUCUAAGCGUGAAGCCUCCCUCAAAACUAGGUAUCCCUAUCAGAGCCGUGGAAGACUACCACGUUGAUAGGCCGGAUGUGGAAGCGCAGUAAUGUGUGAAGCUAACCGGUACUAAUUGCUCGAUCGGCUUGAAUUC